AAUUGGAGGGCAAGUCUGGUGCCAGCAGCCGCGGUAAUUCCAGCUCCAAUAGCGUAUAUUAAAGUUGUUGCAGUUAAAAAGCUCGUAGUUGAAUUUCGGGGUCAGUAGAUUGGUCGUGCCUCUGGUAUGUACUGGUCUUACUGGCUCCUCCUUCCUGAUGAACCGUAAUGCCAUUAAUUUGGUGUUGCGGGGAGACUGGACUGUUACUUUGAAAAAAUUAGAGUGUUUAAAGCAGGCUAACGCUUGAAUACAUUAGCAUGGAAUAAUGAAAUAGGACGUUCGAUCUUAUUUUGUUGGUUUCUAAGAUUGACGUAAUGAUUAAUAGGGAUAGUUGGGGGCAUUAGUAUUCAAUUGUCAGAGGUGAAAUUCUUGGAUUUAUUGAAGACUAACUACUGCGAAAGCAUUUGCCAAGGAUGUUUUCAUUAAUCAAGAACGAAAGUUAGGGGAUCGAAGACGAUCAGAUACCGUCGUAGUCUUAACCAUAAACUAUGCCGACUAGGGAUCGGAUGAUGUUAAUUUUUUAAUGACUCAUUCGGCGCCUUACGGGAAACCAAAGUGU
rnacentral:rRNA from 1 species